GACCAUCUCCUGUCAUCGGCGACGCCGUAGCUUCAACAUGGCGAACCGCUCCCUCUCCGCCGGACUCAAACGGUACGCCAAACCUAUUCUCCUUUCCCCGCAUAUUCAUGACAACGCUAAACUUGCAAAAUUUAGCAGCAUCAGUUGUGUGUUCGGUGCACGAAGUCUAUGUAGCACCGCAGCUACUCGCGCUUAUGCGUUCAAUGCGACGGAGGAGCCUUUCGCGCAAAACAACCCGAAGAACCGAAUUCCAGGACUCAGAUCACCAAAGAAGAGUCCAGUACUAGCGCUUCAAAAUUGGGUGGACCAAGGAAACAGGAUUUCACCCUCCGAGCUCAGACGCAUCGCCAGAGACCUUGUUAAAUCGAAGCGCUACCACCACGCCCUCGAGGUCUUUAAAUGGAUGGAAAACCAGAAGAAGUUCUAUGUGAUCCCAUCUGAUCAUGCUAUGAAAUUGGAAUUGAUCAUUAAAAAUUAUGGUCUAAUGGAAGCUGAAGACUAUUUUAUGAAUAUACCUGACUCAGCUGCAAAGAAAGUUGCCUGUCUCACCCUUCUACGUGGCUAUAUAAGAGAGAGGGACACUAGUAAAGCUGAGACUUUCAUGGUGAAGCUCUAUGAACUGGGGCUGGUGGUGAGCCCUCACCCUUAUAAUGAGAUGAUGAAACUAUAUCUAGCCACCUGUGAGUACAGGAAGGUACCCCUUGUUAUCCAGCAAAUGAAGCAUAAUAAAGUACCCUGCAAUGUUCUAUCCUACAACCUUUGGAUGAAUGCUUGUGGUGAGGAAGUAGGAUAUGGGGUUGCAGCAGUAGAGGCAGUUUUUAGAAUAAUGCAAAACGACAAGACUGUUGAAGUUGGAUGGAGCAGUCUUGCUACAUUAGCCAAUGUUUAUAAGAAAGUGGGACAAUCUAAGAAAGCUGUUCAGGUUCUCAAAAUUGCUGAAAAUAAACUAUCUACCAGUAACCAUCUUGGUUAUUUCUUCCUAAUAACACUAUAUACUUCUUUGAAGCAAAAGGAAGGAGUCUUGCGGUUAUGGGAAGCUAGUAAGGCAGUUGGUAGAAGAAUGAGUUGUGCCAACUACAUUUGCAUAUUAACAUGCUUGGUGAAACUUGGGGACAUUGUACAAGCCAAGAGAAUCUUCUUAGAAUGGGAGUCCAAUUGUCGGAAGUAUGAUAUCAGAGUCUCUAAUGUUCUUUUGGGUGCAUAUGUGCGGAAUGGAUUAAUGGACAAAGCUGAAUCAUUACAUCUCCACACAUUGCAGAAGGGUGGUUGUCCAAACUACAAAACGUGGGAAAUUCUCAUAGAAGGAUACAUCAAUAGGCAAAAAAUGGAUGAGGCUAUUAUUGCCAUGAGAAGAGCUUUGACUAUGAUGAAAGAUUGUCAUUGGAGGCCACCACAUGGACUUGUUUUAGCCAUUGCAGAGUAUUUGGAAAAAGAUGGGAACUUUGAAUAUGCUAAUAAGUAUAUUACAGACAUCCAUAAUUUUGGUCUUUUUAGUUUAUCGUUGUAUAAAAUAUUGCUUAGAAUGCACCUCUCUGCAAACAAACCACCUUUCCAUAUCCUUAAAAUGAUGGAUGAAGAUAAAGUUGUGAUGGAUAAUGAGACACUUUCCAUUCUCAAAGCCUUCACUAGGUAGGUAACAUCAAUCCAUUAAGAUUUUCUGGUUGCUUGUUGCAAGGUGUGCAUCCCCCCAUCAGUUUGUUGUUGCACGUCGUAAGAUGGAAGGAGGAUUUCAUGUACCUCCAUGAAGAUCCUCAACAUCUGUACUCAUAUUUUUGUAAGCUCCAUUCAGGUUGAAGUGCUAGGAGGUGAAGCCAGUAACCUUGAAGUCAAUUCCAUACUUGGAAUCUGAGAGAGAGGAUGGGCUCCUUGGCAAUUUAAGGUGGAAAAGCUGCAGUUGUUCAGCGUUUAAUGUUCAAAUUGAGAUACAUAGCCAAAGGAAAUUUACUCCAAGGUAAUAGAGAACUGGAAAGAUAAACAACCCUAGCCAUGAGAGCAGCCAGCUUAUUUGGGAGAACACCAGGGUGUCUUUAGAUGUCUAUUGCUGGGCAAUGUUUUGGAUAACAUUUUGAAGGGAAAAUUGCAACAACUGUAUUAGUACCGACAAUUUUGGUCUUCCAAGUUUAUCACUGUAUUGCGUGGACUGCACCUUUCUGACGAUUAGCUGACCUCUUCCAUCUUCAAAAUUUUGGAAGAAUGAUCAGAAACUUCUAUUCUUGUAGCAUUUAAUGGGUUUCAUUUUAAUUGACAAAUUCCUACUUGUUUCCUGCUGAGCAUGUUAUGUUUUUUCUUGGAAAAAUUCGAUUCAUGCAUCUUGUCGAUGCGUGUUUAGGUUUUAUUUAGACUUGAGCAAGAGGAUCACGAAUGGUACUGAGAAGUCCAACGCUGAGAUUUUUUAAAGCUUUUUGGUCCAUCAUCAACCCAGAUAUUUGUUCCAUUCAGCAAUCAAUUCCACCAUAUAGUUAAAUAUCAUUCAAGGUGUUUCCUUGAU